AUCACAGAUCUUCACUCUCUAACUCAUCACUGCGUUUCCUUGUUAAAAAUACGAUCCUGAACUUCCUUCUCUCCUCAUUUAUGGUUUUCUUUAAAGCUCAUUUGAGGUUUUAACUCGUUAUAAACAGACGUGAAUUUGCACUGAUGCCUUUUUCCUUUUCGUCUCCAGAUUUGGUUGAAAGACUUUGCUGCAGGAAAAUGUGGAAAUCUCGGUGAGUUGGUGUCUGUAAAUGUUGUUCAGAGCAGAUUGAAGGUGUUGGAGGAGGAUGAACGAGGCUGCAGAUGCUUUGACUGAUCACUGUCUGUUAUGUGAACCCGUCUGUGUUGACAUGUUGUUUUAAAUUGUCUAAGUUUGUUAAUCCUGUAACAGAAAUGUUUUGAGUCUUUUCUGGUUAAAAACAUCAAAAAUCAAACAUCACACGUUAAAACUGGAGCAGCUCGGCCCUAAAACAUCGUCAUCUCUCUCUUUUUUCCAGGAUCAGGCCCCUGACUUCCUGGACCGCCGUACUCGCAGACUUCAUGACCUCCAAGCAGAGCUGGGAGACAAUGUGAGGUCUGGAUGAAAGGGCGUCGGAGAGCGACGGCGACCAUGGGUGGGGGCGAACAGGGGAGGAUGGGAAGCAGAUGGCAGCAGCUCUGUCCCAUCAGCACAACAGAAGGGGGACUCAAGAUGGCCACGGGCCCCCCCUCCUCACAAUAAGGGAGACGCCUUAUCAUCCCGCCAGCGUGAUCCGUUUCUAACAACAACCCCAAAACCUCCCUCCCCUCCCAGCCUCUAAUCACAGCGAACAGGAGCGGCCGAAUCAAUCACCAGGUACUUACAGAGUUACAUUCAAGUCCAGGGUGGCGCCUAUCGCAGGGGCCCUAAAAAUGAGAUCUAGAUGAGGAAAUAUAUUCUUCAAAAUGAGACGGAAUAAAAUCCGGUUUAAGAUGACGGGGCACGACCCGCCUGACGCGCCUCCUGGUCGACUAUGAAUGAGGCUGCGGCGUCUCCGAGCAGCUUGUCUGGGAGAUAACCUUCAGCAGCCUCGCAUCCCUGGCCUCUCCUCUCUGUGUGAAGAGCAUGUAGUGAAUAGGUGCUAAUUAAGCUUUGUGCAUAUAAAGACGACGGCAUACUGUUGCAGUCAGGAAAGAGAAAAAAAAAAAAACAGACUAAUUGUGCGGCGCAGCUUUGUUUCCUCCUGGAGAGACGUCGCCUCAGAUCCAGAAAAACUGCAGCCGUUCACUUCAGAGCUGAGAGAGAGUUCUUCCCUGAGAAAUGUAUAUGUAUAUAGGAACAGUAAAUCAGAGGUGGGAUCUAAAUUGUUCAUCUGAUGACUUUUCCCCACGCAGCACAGUCCAUCAUACAGGCCAGCGACAGAGCAGCAAAAAACCAAAGAAUCAUGCAUCUUUGCGAGUAGAAAUUAAUAAAAACACUAUGUCAAGGAGCCAGGAAAAAUGGUUUCCCCUAAUGGAUUCUCCACAGAAAACAGCUUUUAGACAAUCAAUCUUUCCUUUGAAAGCCCAAUUAUUUAAGUAAUUGUUCCUCACAAUUGCCACAGGAAUUUGUCCUCUGGAUGCUGUAAAAGUGAGCAUCUUUUGUCACUCGUAAAACGGCUCAUACCAUUUUUAUUGUGCUCAUUUAAUUUCUCAGCCACACUUCUACUUAACGCCUUUUGUCUGCAUUUAUAAAACUGUUCAUUCUCUAUUUGUCACACACACACACACAUGUACACACACACACACACACACAGGGUUUGUGGUAAUGUGGCAUAAUGGAAAGUCAUACAGAGUGUGAUGUCAAUCAGAGGCUUUGUUUACAGUCUCAUAUAAACACACCUGUUGACUGACAUGUUGUCAUUUCUACAGAGUGGAAAUCACUUCACUGUGGAGCUGUCUUAAUAUACAGAACUGAGGAGGAUAACCGUCUUUAAAGAUAAACGUAUGUCAGACUCAAAUAAGUGUAAAGAGCCACCGGAGGAAGUGUGUACUUCAAAAUAAAAGCACAGUUUUAAAAUGCAGGAAUUACAGCGACCGAAAUGCAAGACAGAAAACUAUCAAAAUAAAAGCCUCCUCAGACGUUCACCUUCUCUUCACUGAUAAUCUGACCGUAGUUGAUUUAAGAUCACCGUCAGUUAUCGUGAGUUAAAGUUCAGUCGUCCUCAGUUCACUCAGCGCUCACUCUCCUGUUUCCUCUCCGUCAAUAAUGGACCAAAAUAAAUCACCAUAAAUAAAAGUGUCACUGACUGAAAUGAAACGAUGACAUACAACCUUAAAUACUCUAAUCUGAUGUUAUUUUCCCUGUUUUAGAUUCUUAAAUUCACAUCGAUCAAAUUAAAUCAAAUCUUCAAACAUUUUCUAUAGUUUUCUAUAUAAAUCAGUUCAAUAUCAGUUCAUCAGGAGUCUGUCUACAGCUGUUAGAUUUAUUAUUUAACUCCUCACUGGAGGUCAAGUGAAGACAGUAUGUCGGUCAUUUCUCCACAUGUGUUUAGAUGAAUCAAACAAAGAUUCUCUGUUUCAGGUCUUCAGUUAAAAACAGAAAACACGACACUUUGAAAAACUUUCUUGUUUUGGAGAAGAACAGAUGUUUAGUUUAGUUUUUGUUUUGUUCUCUCUGCAGAUCCUCCUCCUCCUCCUCCUCCUGGACUCGUCGACAGUAUAUCUGUUUGCAUUGUUUUGGCAGUAAUCUCCCUUUUAGUCUCUGAGCUCCUGUGAAAUAAAUGUCUGAUGGUGCAGCUGUGCAGGAAAAAUGGAGCUGAAAACAUUUAGAAAUUUGGGCAAAAAAAAAACUGAGAACAAACUUUUUUACACCAGUGAAAUCUGAGAAAAGUAUGUUAAGCAGAAGCGGACUCAGACGGCUGUGAAGUCGAACUAACAUGAAAUUAUUAAAAUGCUAAAAACAUUUGAAGUUUCCCAGAAUAUUUCCAAAGUUUUUCCAAAAGGCUUUUCUUGCAUCAUUAUUCUAAUUUUGUUGUGCUUGUUAGUGUCCGGGUUACUGACAGCCUGCAGAUUCCUGUUACAAUUAGUCCUGGCAGCAGUGCCAGAUGUUUGUGAGAGAGGAGAGAGGGAGAUGUCAAACACCUGUCUGAUCACCACGGUGCACAUGCUGCUGCUGCUGCUGCUGCUGCUGCUGCUGCUGCAAGAGGCAACACUGCAACAACCACUCCUUGUUAGUUUAGUCUCCUCUUCAAGGUCCGCGCUGCGACUGCACAGCAGACACCUCGCUGACAAACACACCGCAGGUUUUAUUUUCAGGAUUAGAGGAAAUGCAAAAUGAGCAAAGACAAGAUCCUAACCGUGUCGGCUGGACUCAGGUCUGUUUUUUAGCUGCAGUUUUUGUCAGAGUGGUUCCUGUUAAAACCAGGAAAAGAACAAAUCAGUUUUUCUUUCUCUUAAAUUUCUUUGUGGUUUUAUUUGUGAUUUUUUCCCCAGAAGUU
rnacentral:lncRNA from 1 species